CCCUUAGAUGUUCUGGGCUGCACGCGCGCUACACUGAAGCGUUCAACGAGUAUUCACCUUGCCCGGGAGGGUUGGGUAAUCUUUUGAAAACGCUUCGUGAUGGGGAUAGAUUAUUGCAAUUAUUAAUCUUCAACGAGGAAUUCCUAGUAAGCGAGAGUCAUCAGCUCGUGCUGAUUACGUCCCUGCCCUUUGUACACACCGCCCGUCGCUCCUACCGAUUGAAUGGUCCGGUGAAAUCUCGGGACGGCGGCUCGGGCGCUUGCGUCCGACUGCUGAAACUUGAUUAAACCAUAUCAUUUAGAGGAAGGUGAAGUCGUAACA
rnacentral:rRNA from 1 species